AACUCUGUGGGCCUGGCCCAGGGACCAUUUCAAAUCGGGAAGCUGCACCCCCCUUUUCUCCCUGCCUCUUAAGCGGGCCUGACUCUUCGCCUAAUUUUAGGCAGGCUCGGUGGUAACAUCUGGUCACAAGUGACUUUCCCUUCUCGAGGUCCUCAUAGAAGUCAAGUAUCUUGAUUUCCUCAUGAAAACAUUGGAGCAUAAACAUUACAGCAGCAUCAACCAACAGCCUGGGAGGGCACCCUGAGGCCUUUCUCCAGGAGUGGAGUUGCCACGCAGCCCCUUAACCAGCCAGCCCAGAGCAAAGAAGCAGCUGGUGCUUCCAGAGUGUUCCGCCCUGCAGGCUGCUCAAGCCAGGCGUCCAGAACCCCCAGGCACGUCCCACGUGUGGCGCUCCAGUGCCCUGUGGUAACUGUCAGCACCCCGAAGCACCGUCGGCAGGUGGCCCGGCUCAGUCCCUGGCACCUCUGCUGUCAGGUGCACAGUUGGCAGGCGCUCUGUGUACAUCACCACACGUCUAGGCUUCUGUUCCCUACAGCCAGAGCCCCACCAACCAAGGCUACCCUCUGCCCUGCCCACCUCCCUGACACAAGGCCUCCUGAGAGACAAGGUGAAGUUUGCAGCACUUUUAAUACAUAAAGCAACAGGCAAGAGGUUGGCCGGGUGACCAGCCUUCCACUCCACAAAAAGCCCAAGUACAGAUACACCCCAAUCGGGAAGUCGCGGCUCACAGGGCCUUAGAGACAAGAGCAGGAAACGCUGUUUCUCGGCCAAGGGAGUGGGGAUUCCAUUUUCUGGGGAUGAAAAGAUAAGAUGUUUGUAAAACAAGCACGGCAGUCUUAAAGUAAGGAUGCAGACUAGCCCAAGCACCACCAGGCGGGCCCCAGGACAAGGCCAGCCUGUUCUGAGCUGGGCCCCACGGUGGGCAGCCAGUGAGAGAACCACCCCUCCACUCGGCACCAGAGUCCACACCAGUUCCCAUCACAGUCUGUCCUCCUCGCCUCUCAUCCUCACCACUUCCCCUGAACGCCUCCUCGGGUUAUCUCCGAGAUAAGCCAGUGACACCACAGGGUUCUCAGGGAGUCUGCAUGUCCCUGCCCUGUUCCUUAGAGCUUCUGGGCUCAGCUCACCCUUCUCCCGCCCCC
ensembl:lncRNA